AUGAACUCGGCUUCUGCCCCGGGCCCAGAUGGCCUGCCGGUUAAGUUCUUCCAAACCUUCUGGUCGGUCAUCAAGCCGGAGGUGAUGGCGCUAUUUCAGGAAUUCUACGUCGGUGUGAUUGACCUAGCCCGACUAAACAGCGGGAUCAUCACUCUCAUCCCUAAGGUGGCCGGGGCCUCGGACAUCUGCCAAUUCCGCCCUAUUACGGUGAUCACUGUGAUCUUACGUAUUCCGGUGAAGGGGUAUGCCAAUAGGGUGACCCUGCUCAUGGACCACAUCACCCAUAAGAAUCAGUUGGCCUUCAUCCAGGGCCGAUACAUCCUUGAUGGGGUGUUAGUGUUCCAUGAAGUCCAUCACGAGGUCCGAGCCAGACAUCAGAAGGUGGUCUUCCUGAAGAUUGACUUCCAUAAGGCCUACAACACUGUCCACUAG
rnacentral:rRNA from 1 species